GGGCACGUGGUGUAGAGGUUUAUCACUCUUGCUUUGCAACGGUUCGACGCCUAGUGCGAAUGGUUCAAUUCCCAGCGUGUCCA